GUAAAGGCAUGGAGCAGGAAAAGUACUUUUCGGUGGGACGCCAGAGAGAAGCUGUUAGAAGCUGGGAGCGGCUUUCGUCUGAGGAAAAGGAAGUGCGCCUGUGAGCUGAUCCGGGGAACAGACAUAAGUAUCCGGAUCCGGUAAGCACCCGUUAUGUGCAUGGCGUUUUACGCCAGAGUGAAGGGCAUUGUCCCUUAAGUAGAGUGGAACCGCGGAUAAAUUCGUCUCUAAG
rnacentral:ncRNA from 1 species